UACGUAGGGCGCAAGCGUUGUCCGGAAUUAUUGGGCGUAAAGAGCUCGUAGGCGGUCUGUCGCGUCUGCCGUGAAAACCCGAGGCUUAACCUCGGGCUGGCGGUGGAUACGGGCAGACUAGAGGUAGGUAGGGGAGAAUGGAAUUCCCGGUGUAGCGGUGAAAUGCGCAGAUAUCGGGAGGAACACCGGUGACGAAGGCGGUUCUCUGGGCCUUACCUGACGCUGAGGAGCGAAAGCGUGGGGAGCGAACAGG
rnacentral:rRNA from 1 species